UAUCUAGGCCCUGAUGAAGAAAUAAAAGAAUUUAGAAUUUACAAAACUCUAAACUAUAAAAUAACAUUAACCAAGGAUAUAUUUGAUGAGUCAAAAUUCUACAAAUUUGAUUACAUUGAAACCACUUUCAAUUUAGCAAUUUUAUUCUCACUUUUUGAAUAUUUUCUUACAGAAAAUAAAAACAAUAAAGACAAAGAGCCAACCAUUUUAAAAAUGACUAUGAAACAACAACAAUAUUCUACAACAUCAACUCGGAUUUUAUCACCUACUUUACAAUCAAUAAU
rnacentral:lncRNA from 1 species